rnacentral:rRNA from 1 species
UACGGAGGGGGCUAGCGUUGUUCGGAAUUACUGGGCGUAAAGCGCGCGUAGGCGGCCCUGUAAGUCCGUUGUGAAAGUCAAAGGCUCAACCUUUGAAAGCCGAUGGAUACUGCAGGGCUGGAGUCCGGAAGAGGCGAGUGGAAUUCCUGGUGUAGCGGUGGAAUGCGCAGAUAUCAGGAGGAACACCAAUAGCGAAGGCAGCUCGCUGGGACGGUACUGACGCUAAGGCGCGAAAGCGUGGGGAGCGAACGAGGA